rnacentral:rRNA from 1 species
GACGAACGCUGGCGGCGUGCUUAACACAUGCAAGUCGAACGGGCCUGCCUUCUUUUUUGGGGGGUGGGUUGAGUGGCGAACGGGUGAGUAUCACGUGAGUAACCUGCCCUUCGGUCCUGGAUAACCGCUUGAAAGGGCGGCUAAUACGGGGUGGUCCGGUUGGUCCGCAUGGGCUGGUCGGGAUAGAUUCACUGUUUUUGGUGUUUCGGCGGGGGAUGGGCUCGCGGCCUAUCAGCUUGUUGGUGGGGUGAUGGCCUACCAAGGCGGUGACGGGUAGCCGGCCUGAGAGGGUGGGCGGCCACACUGGGACUGAGAUACGGCCCAGACUCCUGCGGGAGGCAGCAGUGGGGGGUAUUGCACAAUGGGCGGAAGCCUGAUGCAGCGACGUCGCGUGAGGGAGGGAGGCCUUCGGGUUGUGAACCUCUGUUUCCGGUGGUGAAGGCCCUGUCCGUGUGGUGGGGUUGACGGUAGCCGGGGAUGAAGCGCCGGCUAACUACGUG